rnacentral:lncRNA from 1 species
CAGGGACCUUCACACCACGUAACCCUCAAAGGCUCCUGCCCCAACCCAGGCUCUUCACUGGUCACACCCUGAACUCCUCCAGGAAGGCUUCUGGCCCCAAGGGCCAGCCCAAACCCGUAAGGCAUGUAGGCUAAAGUCUAGCUGGCACCUUGGGUGACUUGAGGACCCUUGGUGAGGACGGGUCGUCAGAAGCACUGUGGGGAAGCCUGGAUGCCCUUGAAGUCAACUGAGGCCACUGUGGACUGGCAGGCACGGGGUGUAUUUAUUGGAGGACAUGAGGGACAGGAUGGGUGCUGUUGGAGUUGACUGAGGACGUUUGGAGAUAGGCUGGCGACCGUUGGGGACAAAGGGGUGUGGCUGGGAACUAGUGGCUAUUGGGGGAUACGCUGCGGGCGAUCAGAAACUGACCGGUGAACCUUGGGGACAGUCUGGUAGCUGUUGGGGUUGGGGGAGGCUUGGCAGGUGACCGUUGGGAACAGGUUAGGAACUCUUAGGACCAAUCUGGAGACAUUGGGAGCUGGCUGGGUUGGGGCCACUAGGAAUGCAUGAGACCCUGAGGGAAGCUAAGGGUGAGUUUUGGGUGGAAAAUCAAGGACAACGGAGGCCAGAAAGUGGGAGCCAAGGAGCAGACACAGUGGAGACACAUACCCACCAGAAAGUCCUGCCUUCACCCAACCUGGAGCCUCGUAGGGUGAAGACCAUUCCAACUUCCCACCUAACGGUGGAGCCAGAGCCGAUGGGCGAGAGCAUCCGGGGCACGAAGCACCAGGUCUGGGAUUCAGCAAAGCCCGACCAGCAUGGGGCUCAGUUAGUCUCCAAGUCCCGGAACUCGCCUGCGCAGAUCCAGGAGGCCCCUGCAAGUGGGCUGCUGCAUCCACAGAAGCAGGAGGCCUUGGGUUGGACUCAGUAUCCCGUCAUACUGUGGAUGUUUCCAGACCUGUAUGAACACAGGCUACAGUAUUAGAAGUUUCUGACAGGCCAAAUACCUCUGACUGCUGAUGUGCUCUGUGAACGACAUUCCAGCCAUCAGAUUCCCUGGAGCUGGAGCUAUUGAUCUACACAAGAGCAAGUGCUCUUCUCCCAGCUCCAGGAACCUCCCUUUUACCAUAAAAGGGAGCACCUUUCAGAAACGCUGUCUGUGUUCCCUAGCCUGAGGAUAAGCUCAUGACCUUCUGUAUCUAUGACGACCCGUGGGUGUCCCGACAGGUGCGUGGGCACUUAGAUCCUGGAUGCUCCCCUUGUCGUUCCUGACAGGCACUGCUCCAGGUCCUGGACUAAGACCACCGUGAGAGCCUGGAGGACGGCAGGCCUGAGGACCACCCUUCUCUCUGACCCCCACACCCCAGGGCCUAUACCUGAAAUGUUGCUGCAAAAUUAAGUCGAUGGGAAGAGGCCCUCCCACAUCUGAGUUCAGGAAUUAAUGAGAUAGAUGGUCAACUUUACAAGAAUUUUGCCGGCAGUGCAGCUCCUGGCAUGUUUUCUACAGAGAAAACGCUCAGAAUUCAUGCCCUAAAGAACAAUCCAGUCCCCCAACCCCAGCACCUUUGCCCAUCUUCAGAAAGUGAAUCCUAGAGGACAAGAGGUCUCCCCCACCUCUUCUCCCAGCACAGGCCAAAGGUGGAACAAAAAGCUUUGUUCUAGAUCUACCAGUUCCAUGUCUAUGACCAAUGCACAAAAACCAAACAGUUUCAGUUCUGCUAAAUUCCUCCAUGCUUUAUCUUUAGCCGACCAAUGUCUUGGUCCUUAACAUUCCCUGACAUUUGGAAUCUCCCUGUUCCAUCUAAGUUUUAACAGUCCCAAGUUCAGAGAAGAGACAACAGGAAGUAAACCACGAGUGUCUGAGAACUGAGACAGGCCAGCAAUCCUGUGCACCUGCACCACACUGUGCCUUGUGGCUGGCAUGCUGAAGUGAUGUCCUUAAGCUGUGAGUCCAGCAUUAAACUCAACAGGAGCUUUUCUUAGUUCUCUUAUUUUUUAUAUCUUGCCCCAUUUUGCAAGCAUUAUUUCUUCUUCAAUUACAGCACUGUGUUAAAUAUACAUUGCUGUAUGAAAUGCAAAAUCUGGGAAAACAUGGCAGCGGGGUUUAGUUUUGCUCAUCGGUGAUAGAUGGUCGGAGGUCUACCCAGGGCUGGAAAGUGCUGCCCUAGGGACUUCCUCCUCA